AUGUAUAUUCAAAAAUCCCCAAUUUUCCCCUCAACCUCAAAACUCAAAAUCCUUAAAAUAUUAAUUCAAAAAAUAAAACUUUCAAAUUUUUUUGAAAAAAAAAACGAAAAUUUCAGGAAACGAAAGCUUCAUGCCGAUCUACAAGAUCAGAAUCGCAUACCUCAGAUAAUAAUCAUGUAUUCACCAAAUUGA